CCCCCACUUCCUCCUGUCCCUCCUGUCGUCCUUGCAUUUGGUGACGGCGGUGUGCACCCACCACACCUUGGUGAACAUACUGCCGUAGGCCAGGCUGAACCCCACGCCCAGCAGCCACAGCCGCGCCUGCACGGCCCCCGCGGACACGCGGACGGACAUAGGGACACACGGACAUACGGACACACAGAACGGACAUAGGGACAUAACGACAUAGGGACACACGGACAUAGGGACACACGGACGGACAUAGGGACACACGGACAUAGGGACACACGGACAUAGGGACACACGGACAUAGGGACACACGGACACACGGACAUAGGGACACACGGACAAAGGGACACACGGACAAAGGGACACACGGACAUAGGGACAUAGGGACACACGGACACAGGGACAUAGGGACACACAGACGGACAUACAGACACACAGACAGACGGACACACACAGACACACAGCCACAAUGAGCCACGGUGCACCACAAUGGAACCCAACAGAUCCCAAUGGACUCCAAUGGACCCCAAUGGAGCCCAAUGCACC
ensembl:lncRNA